rnacentral:rRNA from 1 species
AUUGAACGCUGGCGGCAGGCCUAACACAUGCAAGUCGAGCGGAGCGGCGGACGGGUGAGUAAUGCCUAGUAAUCUGCCUGGUAGUGGGGGAUAACGUCCGGAAACGGGCGCUAAUACCGCAUACUAUCAGAUGAGCCUCGGUCGGAUUGGCUAGAUGGUGGGGUAAAGGCCUACCAAGGCGACGAUCCGUAACUGGUCUGAGAGGAUGACCAGCCACACUGGAACUGAGACACGGCCCAGACUCCUACGGGAGGCAGCAGUGGGGAAUAUUGCACAAUGGGCGAAAGUCUGAUGCAGCCAUGCCGCGUGGAUGAAGAAGGCCUUCGGGUUGUAAAGUACUUUCGGCGGGGAGGCGUUACCCGCAGAAGAAGCACCGGCUAACUCCGUGCCAGCAGCCGCGGUAAUUC